rnacentral:tRNA from 1 species
GCCGCGGUCGCUCAACUUGGUGGAGCGGGAGCUUGAGACCCUCCUGCCAGCAAUGGCUGUGACAGUCACUGGGUUCAAAUCCCAGCCGCGGCG